rnacentral:rRNA from 1 species
CGAUGAANAACGUAGCGAAAUGCGAUACUUGGUGUGAAUUGCANAAUCCCGUGAACCAUCGAGUCUUUGAACGCAAGUUGCGCCUGAAGCCAUUAGGUUGAAGGCACGUCUGCCUGGGCGUCACGCAUUGCGUCACCCACUCCCCCCGUGUCCCNAGUGGGCAC